AAGAAACAAAGCGUAUAAACAGAAGCAAGCAGAGACAGUCACCUAACCAAAAAUAACCAAAUGUUUUAAUCAGGCAACAAAAAACCUGCAAUAUGAGUCUACAGAUAGUCCCACAAUGACAGUCAGUCAGAUACUCUGCAGUGAGGACAUGCAAUGCUCUGGCACUGACCAGGAGUCAGCAACCAAGCAGAAGUGAGAGGUUGGUUUCCUCCUUUAUAAAACAGUGAGGGUGACAGAGAAUCCCAUCCUCCUCAAGCCUUCCUGCUUCAGAAACUUGUUUUGUCUUAUUAUUAAUAAUAGCUACCAUUUACUAGGUGCCUACUAUUAAGAGGCAGUAUAUACUGCAUACAUCACACUCAUAUAAUCCAACCUAACCCUUAGAGUGAUUUUCUAGGAUAUCACUUAGAG